rnacentral:rRNA from 1 species
AUUGAACGCUGGCGGAAUGCUUUACACAUGCAAGUCGAACGAUGAACCUUAGCUUGCUAAGGGGAUUAGUGGCGAACGGGCGAGUAAUAUAUCGGAACGUGCCUUGUAAUGGGGGAUAACUAGUCGAAAGAUUAGCUAAUACCGCAUACGCCCUGAGGGGGAAAGUAGGGGAUCUUCGGACCUUACGUUAUAAGAGCGGCCGAUAUCUGAUUAGCUAGUUGGUGGGGUAAUGGCCUACCAAGGCGACGAUCAGUAGCUGGUCUGAGAGGACGACCAGCCACACUGGAACUGAGACACGGUCCAGACUCCUACGGGAGGCAGCAGUGGGGAAUUUUGGACAAUGGGCGCAAGCCUGAUCCAGCCAUUCCGCGUGAGUGAAGAAGGCCUUCGGGUUGUAAAGCUCUUUCGCAAGGGAAGAAAACUUACCAUCGAAUAAAUGGUGAGGCUGACGGUACCUUGAUAAGAAGCACCGGCUAACUACGUG